UUGUGCUAGGUGGGGAGCUAGCGGUGCCCUGAUCCCGAAAUCCGCUUUAGCGGGGCUGAAAUCCCUUCCUAGGAUCAUGCUGAAAACAGUUUCGUCUGCCGACCGGCCGCCGCGCAACAAACGGUUGCGAACCUCGUCAGGUCCGGAAGGAAGCAGCGAUAAGUGAUGCGGUUUGUGUCGCGGAUCGAUUCCGGUUAUAAGCGGACGGAUCCUGUCUAAGCAGAUUCGAAGAAGGGUGCACAA
rnacentral:SRP_RNA from 1 species